UACGUAGGUGGCAAGCGUUGUCCGGAUUUACUGGGCGUAAAGGGUGUGUAGGCGGAAUCUUAAGUAGGAAGUGAAAGGUUGGAGCUCAACUCCAACACUGCUCCCUAUACUGGGGUUCUUGAGUCCCGGAGAGGAAGAUGGAACGACACGUGUAGCGGUGAAAUGCGCAGAUAUCGGGAGGAACACCAGUAGCGAAGGCGGCACUCUGGGCCGGAACUGACGCUGAGGAGCGAAAGCGUGGGGAGCGAACAGG
rnacentral:rRNA from 1 species